UCUCGGUCGCUUUAAAGCCUGAAAGGGGCAGCCGAACCCUAAGACAAUUCGCAUUCCGCGUCCAUGGCGACCAAGAAGCGGAAGGUCGACCAAGAGGACGAUCUCCUCCCCGCCGCCCCAAACCAUGCCGAUAAUCCCCUCCCCCAACUCCACCAGCAGCCCGUCGUCUACACCCAGGCGCCGGCCUCUGACGACGAGGACGGCGGCAGAGGCAGCGAAAGCGACCAGGACGACGAUGACGACGACGUGGGGAAUCUCCUGGAGCCGAUCUCCAGGGACCGUCUCGUCGGCCUCCUCCGCUUCGCUGCAGCCUCCGACCCUGCAGCCCUCGCCGAGAUCCGCCGCGUCGCCGACCUCGACCCGGUCCACCGCAAGCUCUUUGUUCACGGCCUCGGCUGGGACACCACCGCUGAGGGCCUCCGCGCCGCCUUCGUCCGCUACGGCGACAUCGACGAUUGCCGCGUGAUCGUCGACAAGGCCAGCGGCCGAUCCAAGGGCUACGGCUUCGUUCUCUUCCGCCACCGAAGCUCCGCCCGCCGCGCUCUCCGCCGUCCCCAGAAGCUCAUCGACAACCGCAUGACCUCCUGCCAGCUCGCUUCCGCCGGCCCCUCCGCUUCCCUCCACCACCACAAUUCCGCGUCGCAACACCACCAAAACCCUAACCCUAACCCUGGCCCUGGUCCCGCAUCGCAUCAGGACAACAUCUCGAGGAAGAUCUACGUGGGGAACGUCCAUUCCGACAUUGAUGGUGGCCGCCUCCUCGCCUUCUUCUCCCAGUACGGUGAGAUCGAGGAGGGCCCCAUCGGCUUUGAUCGACACACCGGGAAGCCAAAAGGGUAUGCCCUUUUUGUCUAUAAGACGGUGGAGGGCGCCCUGAGAGCCCUCGAGGAGCCGAGCAAGAAUUUUGAAGGCCACCUGCUCCACUGUCAGAAGGCCACUGAUAAUAAGAGUAAGGGUGCACUGGUUCAGAACACAGCAGCUUCUCCCAAUGUGGUGCCGAGCACAGUAACUCUCAAUGGGCCUGGUUAUGCAUUGCCACCAUCAGAUAUCGGGUUAGCACAACAAGCUGCGAUGUUGGGACAGGGGCUUCUUGGCCUGGGGGGAGGACAAGCCUUUGGACAGGGAAUGCAGCCAAAUGUUGCGUUGCUAACACUAUUAGCGACAGCUGGGCAGAAUCCAGCAGCUUUUGGAGUUACGCCGGCCAUGCUUGCUUCACUGAAUCCUGCUUUUGCUGCUGCAUUUGGUGCAACGGGGACCCAGCAAGCUGUACCUCCUUCAGCCGUACCCCAGACAGCACAGAUGGCCAGCUAUGGAAUGGGAAGUGCUGGGUAUCAGGUGGCUUCAGGGUUUCAGGGGCAUACGGGUUUUCAAGGCUCGCCAGGGUUUCAAGGGCCUCCAGGUCUUCAGGGCACUCAUCCAACUGCUCAACAAGGAGGAGCAGGAGGUGUUAGCUCUUACCCUACAGCGCCAGGUUCAAUGUCAAGGCCACCAACUGGACCAAUGGGUGGAUACGGUCCACUUUAGGUCGUCGAUUGAGGUUUGGUACAGCAUUGCCUUCUAGUUUCUUGCUGGCGUUUACAUUUUCAAAAAUCAAUAGGUUCGAGAAUGGGACGUGUCCUCAUUUGAUCUUUGACCAUGUACAAUGAUGAGGCUGUUGUGGAUGCGCAACAUGCUUUUCCUACAUCCUUAAGCUGUAAGGUUACUGUAAGCGUUCUUUUUCUAUGUGGAGGUCAUGUAGCUUCUUCCAACAGAAUAUGUGCCCAUGCUUCCUGAAACUUGAGAUUACUAGAUUCACAGUCACAUGUCUCUUAACUGUUAUGUGCCAUGAAAGAAUCUUUAAGUUGGUUUGUUUUAGUUUGCUAGCUGCAAUGACCACCAAAUAGUUGUAAGUUCUACUUGAUGGUAGAGACCUAUCAUGUUGCAUGCUGAAUUAAAGCAUCAUAAUUUGCACAAAUCUUCUGGCUGCAGGUUGUGAUCAUAGCGAAGGGUUGUCUUUUAGUUAUUGUUAUUGUUUUUAUUAUUGUUUGAGUUGACUGAAAAGCUAAAAAAUUUGUGCCACUUCUCAAUAUUUUAACUUUUUUUUUUUCAGUCUUUUAUCUUGACGCCAUUCAUAGAUCUGAAGGCUGCGCUGAUCAUUGCUAGGCAUUUUAGUUAGAAGAAAUAAUUAUUGUCUUUAUGCCAAUCAUGAUGAAUGAAGAGGUAUAGAAAUAGAAAUGUAAGAGAACAUUAAAGAAAUUAAGAAUAAGAGGGAAGGAGGCCUAUGGAUAAAAAAGAUACAUACUGUCACUAUUGAGGCUAACAUCUAUAUGUCAAGAAGAUUCCAGCCAGGCGUGUUUGCUCUCCAAAUUAUUUUUCUAACAUAACUUAUCUAUGAAAUUUAGAAAUAAAACAAAGCUUCCUUAGAAUAAACGAUAUGAAGUCUCAAAAAAUAUAGUGACACAAACAUUUGUCACAUUUCUAAACCUCAAUUGCAGUAACUCAAAAGCACCAACAAAUUAGAAGUAUGUUACAAGCAUGCAUAUACCUGAUGCAACUUUAAAGUAAAGUUGCCUGAAAAAUGAUAACAACAAUAAUGAAAGCCAUAUGUAACAACAUAUUUAGUGAUAUGAAAAUCCUUAGUCAACUGGCAUCAUUCUUCUACUUUUGGUACAGUCAUUUCAAUCUCUUGCAUCUCCUUUUGGAAAUAAAGGAGGAUGAGUGAAGUAGGAGAAGAAGAGAGGAUGAGGCGAAGAUACCAGAGAUGAAGAAGUGGCGGUAGCAAGGUAGUGAACGACACAAGGGAACAUACUGUAAGGCGAGAGAGAGGAGUGUGGGAGGAAAAUAAACUAAAAAGACAAUUGGGAUAGAGAGGAGUGUGGUAGGAAAAUAAACUAAAAAGACAGUUGUCACUAUCUGCCAAAAAAAAAAAAAAUCCAGUUGCAAACUGACCAAGCAAAAUUGUGUGGUUUUUAAAUAUAGUCGGUACAGAUUGGUCUGACCAGUUUUUCGAACCAUGUCCUGUCUAUCAUGUAGCCAUGUUUACCUUCUCAAGCAAUAUGAGAUUUUAAUGACGACGGGAGGGAAAUGUAGCAUUAGAUGGUGGCACAUUAUUCAGUUGGUAGGAGUGAUAAGUAGUUUUAAUUAUCAUAUAUAAAGAUGCUAGAGUUGUAACGCCCUAAUUUUAAUAGGGGCAAUUUUGUAUUAUCACUUCAUAAGUGGAAGUCAGAGUUAGGAUUAACCCCACUUCUCUUUAUAUGUAGUCAUCAUCUUCCCACCCUAAUCAUGAUAAAAAGUUAUCGAGGGGAGGAUGAUGUUAGGGCAUCACCUACAAAAGAUAGAGGUAGACAUUCAAAUAUUUGACUCUCUCUAUCUUCUUUGGAUGUUAUGAUGUAGGGAUCCAAAUUCUUGACUUUUCAUUAGCUUUAGAUGUUAUGAUGUAGGGAUCCAAAUUCUUGACUUUUCCUUAUCUUUAGAUGUUAUGAUGGAGGGGCCCUCUUCUUCUCUCAUUGCUAUCUCCUUGAUGUUAAUCUUUUAUUUUUUUCUUCAAUUUAUUGAUGCUUAUGUUGCUUUGACUGAUUAUAAUAUCUUCUACGAAUGAAUCAAUAUUAUUAUUUAGAGUCAUAGUGGACACAAGUCAUCCGAUUAACGCAUGAACCUAUUUAUUUGUUAAAACUAAAUCUAUGUUGGAAAGGAUUUUGAACAUAAGAUAUUUGCAUCAAUUUUGUUUAUUAGUCCAAGUGUUUCUGCGGUUGGUGAGGUAACUCUUAUUAAUCUUAGUUUCUAUCGUAUGUAGUCAUGUGUAGAAGUUAUUAUAAUCCUUAUAAGUUUGACAUGACAAUUUGAUUUGCUUGAUAGAAAGGUUUAUGUUAAGCACUAAACUUAUUCACAUGAAUUAAAUAUCAAUUUAAUUAUAAAGAAUUGUUAAAUAUUGGAAAUUGAUCCAAAUUAUGUUAGUGAUGAUCUAUAUUUUCUUGAGAUCUAAUUUAUAAUACUGGAGGAUUGAUCAAUAAAGCCUAUGGAUAUGGUUGUAAUAUUCGAGGGCUGAUAUGUUUAUGUGGAACUGUGAAUACUAUGAUACUAAAUAAUAAUAUUAAUUCAUUUGUGGAAGAUAUUCAUAUUGAUCAAUGCAAUAUAAAUAUCCAUAAAAAAGAAGAAGAUUAACAUCAAGUGAUAACAAGGAGAGGAAAGAACGGUCCCUAUAUUAUAACAUUUAGAGAUGAUAGGGAAAGCCAAGGAUUCGGAUUCCUAUAUCACGAUAUCUAGAGAAGAUAGCAACAACCAAAGAUUCAUAUCUCUAUCUUUGUCUUCUAUAGGUGAUUUCCAAAUGUCAUCAUCUUCUCCUUCUCGAUAGUUGCCCUCUCCCUAAUGAUUAGGGAGGGGGAUGAUGGCUGCAAAUAAAGGGGAGAGAGUUACUCCUAACUCUAGGCUCCACUUAUGAAGUGAGAUUAUAAUAUAUACCCUAUUUAAAAUUAGGGUAUUACAAAAUCUUAGUUUGAUAAUUUGGCUAUAAGUUUUCUUUUUAGAUGCUAACUUGUGUCUAGAAACUGUUGUGGUACCCUGACAAUUUUCCAUCUAUGAUAAAAUAGGAUAGAAAAAGGCCUCUUGCAGGUGAUCCAUGUAAGAUUUGGAUAGGAGAUUUCAGCUGACAUAAAUUGUUUGAUAGGAUCUUAAAGAAUUGAGGUCUUCUGGAAGAACUCAUGACUGAAUAAAUUUUGAAUUCCAAAUGAAGUGCAUACCAGAAAUAAAAUAAUCGAAUUAUUUCACUUUCAAAGUCUUUGUUGCUGUUAAUAUAAUGGUUUUCAUGCGCCUUAAUGUUGCAACCAUCAGUUUGCCAUAUGUGAUGUAUGAUAUUUCAGUCUUUUUACCAUCUUGUGUUUUGUGUGUUUUGUCAUUUUUGAAUGUUCAUUAGAGAAUAAAAAACUUUUUGGGCUGGUUUGGAAUCUAUUGACCUUGAUUAUUUCAUCACAAUCUUAUUCACUAGUUAUGAUGCUGUUUUGUUUGAUAUUGUUAGAUGUAGCAUGUUUAACUAGGAAAGUAAUCUGGAAGAUGAUCCCCCAUAACUUGGUCAUUGUAAGCAGUUUUAGGAAUAUUAAGAUAAUUUCUGCCAUGUCAAAGUAAGGUAUGAGGUUUCACUACUUUGGGAUAGUGAUAUAUUUAUAUGGACUUCUCAUGUCCCUGAUCUGAUGGGUUUUGUGAUGGAAUAGUCAGAUCAGCCUCUUUCCCUUGUGCAACUAGAGGAAAGAGAUAAUAGUGCUAGCUUUCCCAGUGAUUGGCAACCUUGGCAGUGAGAAGUCACCAAUCACCACUCUUGAGCCUAUCUGAGAAAUCAGACAUCACAAAUACUUGUAGGGGGAAGUCCGAUGUUACACGAUAGCACUCUGGGAAGCUCUACCAGGAAUACCACCGAAUUAGUUAAUUGUAGAUGUUAAAAAAUUUGUUGUCAAUUAUGCUAUUUGUACAAACAAAACAAAAUCAAUUGGAAAUUCAAGUUUGUUGCAUCAUAGCUCGAGAGAAUAUCAAGGUACUUUUUGUAAGUUGUAGACUUGUCCAAGGUUCGUCGUGUCGACCUGUAUCAGGUGGUAUAGGCGGUAUAGACCAGUUUGAUAGGGGAUUAACACGUAGACUGCCUUGUAACGGGCGGUCCAUAAUAGGGGGCCUUUUAUCGAGCGAUUUGUGGUCUCUAUCGGGCGGUACGAACGAAAUUCAAUCGUUAUUAACUUGUACUAGUCUAUAACGGUCGAAUUUUGAUCGUUUCACUCAGUAUAUACUCUAUAUUGCCCGUAAGUCUGUUGAUGUUGGCAUCAACAUCAACUGAAGCUUGAAAACCAUUAAAGUGUGUUUGGAGGUAUAGAUAAGGUAAAAACUUCAAAGCUUUAAAUUCUUUGACGUGAAUUCAAAACUCUUAUGAUGAAAGAUUCUAAAUCUAUUGUUGGUUUUUGUUUUUAAAGUCUCUUCUAUUGUGAACCAAAUGAGGUCUUAUGGUGAGAACCUAAAGAUCAAACAGUUAUAAAAAAAGUUUUAUGGAGUUUAUCUCCAAAAUUUGAUAUAAUUUCUACUACUAUAUAAGAAGCUAAAGAUAUAAGUAUAUUGUUUUUUGAUGAAUUAAGGGGCUCGCUUUUAGUUCAUGAACAAAAAGUGAACAUAUCUUCAGAUGAAAACAUGUUCUUCAAAUGAAGAUAGAUUAGAAGGAUCAAAAGAAAAAUUCAGAAAUCAAAUCUCAAGGGAGAGAUCAAAAUGGUAGAGGCUAUGGACGAUCUGAUGCUCGAGGAAGGGGACGAGGUCAAUCAAAUGAGAGUCAGAGGAACUCCAAUGAAGGGUUAGAAUUUGUUGAAUUCAAACGGUCCAUUUGAUCGUUUGAACCAUAUUUAAGGGUUUUUAAACCCUUUCUACUACCUCAAUUCAUCCGUUGGAAAGAAUUGAGUUGGGCGACGAGACAACUUCUCAAUCGCAUUCAGCAACCUGCUUAGUCCAUAGAUGUGGCAGCGACGUGGACAACAGUGCCUCAACCGAUGACGAUGGCAACGUUAGAGAGUCAAUCCCCUACUCGAGGAAUCCUAUCGUUUUUUUUUGUGGUAGAACCAGAUAAUUCAAUAUCAACAGAAGGAUGGUCUGAAAUCUGCCACAAAGCUACUCCUCAAAGCUCAAAAAAGAUAUGUACCACUAUUUUUUCAUAAUUUAGAAUAUUUUUGAUGAAAUUAUACUAAAUUUAUAUUUAUUUCCAACUUAAAAACCCUAAUCUAAUUUUUUUUUUUUCAGAUAAUUUUAGAGCAAUUUUUGGUCUUUUUUUUUGUGUCAUCGGCACGCCCUGUCAUGGUGACACUUGGCACAUCGGCAUGGGGUGGCACUUACCUUGUUGUCGAGUGGCUGUCACAUCGGUUUGGACCAGUAAGCAGGUAACCCCUGGUGCAAGCCUCCUUAUCAAGCGAUCUGUGAGGCAAGCACUCCAUUGAUGACAGUUGUUUCCACAAUAUAAGCCGCCAACUGAUCUAUGUUACCACCAAUCCUUGAGCUGAAACCUCUUGCUUAAAGUCUUUUACAGAGAACUUGGCAUGUAAAAAAAGUUGUCCACUUGGGGAAUCAUUGCUUAGCAGCAGCAGCUCAUUGUGUUUGAUCAACCAGGACACAAUAUAUCACCAUAUGAAGCCCAGCUGUCCAAAUGUCUUCCCCAACCUGAGCUGCAGCAAGUUUUAAAGGAUAUGAAAAAUUGAACUGUCAUAUUUUAGGAGUCGAAGACAGAAGAAGCUACUGCAACUCAACUGACACGAAAAAAACUACAUUAGCUGUGCAAACCCAGGGAGCCUGGCUUACAGUUAGAUCUUGUGAGCACUGACAUUUUGGUAAAGCAGUAAUAUGGAUCAUCUGUAGAACAACACUCCAGUUGGAUUUUUGUUAGAACUCAUUUCUGAUGCCAGGACAGCAUACAUAAAAGGUACUGUAUUCUUCAGUGGAGCGAGGUUUUAGUUCACUAAAGGAAGAAAAAGAUGCAACACAGGCAGCUUUCAGAUUUUGCUUCCUCAAAGAGUCGUUUUCAGCAUCAGUCGUUUACAUUAUUGGUGUCGGGGUCUGUUUCAUUGAGAAUUCAGCUGAAAUCUCAUGUGCUUGAGGCUGUUCCCUCAAAUCUCUAGAACUUCAUGAGAAGCCUUGUGAUUACCAUGUCCAGAUUGGCAAAUAUUGGUACUAAGCUGGCGAGAGAUUUCUAGCC